rnacentral:lncRNA from 1 species
AUUUUUUAAUCCUUUGUUUUCAGAUCCCAGAUAUCUGCUUGUAUUUAGUAUCUUUUCAGAUUUGGGUGUAGAUCUGUAGGGUGGACCAUAGAGAGGCAGGCUUGCUUUGCCAAUGUAAGAAAGAGCGCAAUUCUUUAGGGAAAUGUAACACCCAUGCAUUAGUAACAUGCCAUUGUACUUUACAUCAAAGCGUAAAAAUUUUUUCUGUAACCCUUUCUCUAGAAGCAAAAUAACAGUGUGGAAGUUUUUUUUUUUUUUUUUUUUUUUUUGGAAUAAAAAAA